AACCAUGCAUUAAAAAGCUAUGAAAAGAUGAAGAGAAUAUGCCUUCAGAUGGGAAGGAAUACUUACUGUGAAUGAGACCUAGUUCAACAUUGAACUUCCUGGUGGCCAAGUCAGAAGAGAAGCACAAGAACCUGGAAGACUACUCUGCCAAAACAUCUCAAAAAGUGUGUGUCUGGAAUUGGUGGGUUCUUGGUCUCACUGACUUCAAGAAUGAAGCCGUGGACCCUUGCGGAACUGUGAAGACUAGAGUGACCUUGGAGAUCUCAUCUGGAAGAUGGUAGAACUGCCAUCAGCCUGGGUUCCCAAAUGACCUCGUGGAUCACAGCUACCCAUGGCCUGAAAUGUUGACCUUGGAGUUGUUACAUAGGAAAGAAAUAAACUUCUUUGUUC
rnacentral:antisense_RNA from 1 species